CGUAGGUGGCAAGCGUUGUCCGGAUUUAUUGGGUUUAAAGGGUGCGUAGGCGGUGUCCUAAGUCAGUUGUGAAAUACGGCAGCUUAACUGUCGAGGUGCAAUUGAUACUGGGAUACUUGAGUACUGAUGAGGUAUGCGGAAUGGACGGUGUAGCGGUGAAAUGCUUAGAUAUCGUCCAGAACACCGAUAGCGAAGGCAGCAUACUAAGGAGUAACUGACGCUGAGGCACGAAAGUGUGGGGAUCAAACAGGAUUAGAUACCCUGGUAGUCCACACUGUAAACGAUGAUCACUCGAUGUUGGCGAUACACGGCCAGCGUCUUAGCAAAAGCGAUAAGUGAUCCACCUGGGGAGUACGCCGGCAACGGUG
rnacentral:rRNA from 1 species